ACAAACUUGGUCAUUUAGAGGAAGUAAAAGUCGUAACAAGGUUUCCGUAGGUGAACCUGCGGAAGGAUCAUUACUGUAGGAAUCAUGGAGUUAAUCUGCAUGAAGAGAUCUAAGGUAGUAAAUUGUGAUGCUAGAAGGUGUUAAGAUAUCUGGUACUCUACCAGAAAGCAACUAGAAUUGCACCCUUCAAUGAAAUUACCCCCCAAUUUCAGAAGAGCUCACUCAAAUCUACCAACCAUAUUAGUCUCUCCUUGUGGGUUAAAUGUCUGUGAAUCCAAACCCUUCUACCCUUGACUAUAAGUACCUUUGUUUCCUUGGCAAGUUUGCUUGCCAGUGGACUUAUCUUAAAUUCUUUUGUUAUAGCAGUUUUUUGUCUGAAAUUAUAAGUAAUCAAUCAAAACUUUCAACAACGGAUCUCUUGGUUCUGGCAUCGAUGAAGAACGCAGC
rnacentral:misc_RNA from 1 species